GGGCGUGUAGCUCAGCUGGGAGAGCACCUGCCUUGCACGCAGGGGGUCGCAGGUUCGAUCCCUGUCAUGUCCACCA
rnacentral:tRNA from 1 species